UUUCCCUCAGAUUCUCCAGUAUCCAGCUUUUGCUGAGGAAGUUCCACCUUGAUAUACUGCCUAGUUCUAGAGAUGUGGGUUCAGGUCCAGGCACUGGAGAUUCUGGCUCUGGGAACUUGAUCAAGCCACCCUGUAACUGAGCUGCCGUGGGAAGAGUUCUCUAGGUUGGGUCUGGAUGUUCUGGGUCUUUCUCUUCUCUUUCCAGUGAUAAGGAAAUUGAAGCUUUACAAAGACAAGCAGCUAACCCAGACUCACCCAUCCCACCUGACUCCACAAAGUUCUGAGCCACUAUGAUAUGCUGUCUGAGAUAUUGAUCAAUGUUGACUGCAAAAUUAACAGAGGUCUCAAUAAUUAAACUAUAAAUUUAUAUACAUAUCUCC